UAGUCAUCAACAAUUUGUUCAGCAACAAUAAAAAGGCUCCAACAACAUGUUUCAAAAUCGAUACAUAAGGAAUGAAAAUAAAACAACUGAUUUCCAUCUCGUUACAUAUCAGAGCCCUAAGACACUUGAGCCACCACUUCUACUACUCUUCAUCACCUGCAAGUUACCCAUACGAAGGGCAACAUUUCCAAGCAGAAGGGGUGAGAUUCACAAACAACAAUAAUAGAUAUAUAAUUCAUCAAUUGAAUCUAACACCCUAAACAACAAUAAUACUUCAAUAUACAUAUAUAUUUCAUAAUCAACAACAUCAUCAACAUUUGGCAAUUUCAAUCAACAACAACAACUCAUGCAAUGACAUGACAACUCUACUACGACUCAACAACAAAAUGCGACAAUGCACAUGCAUGUGGUACCAUUUUAACGUGUUUGAAUGACAAGGCAUUACAGGGCGUGAGCCCUCACCAAUUUGAAUGGUUAAAGCAUUCACAGGGCAUGAGCCCUCACCAAUUGAAUGAACUAGCAUUCACAGGGCAUAAGCCCUCUCCAAUUGAACGACAAGGCGUUCCAAGGCAUGAGCCCUCACCAAUUUAUGAUUAUGCAAUGAACUCCACUUGUGUAUAUCAACAUACAACUCAACAAUGCAUAUAUACCGACUGCAUAAACGACGACAACCACUACUCAACAAUGCAUAUAUGUGAAUAUGACUUACACCUCAAGAAUUCAAUUAAUGAUACUUUAAUCUUUGAAAUGAAAUUCAACAACAUGUAUAAUUUAUUUAAUAUAAAUAUACAUAACAACCAUCAAUGAUUCAUCAUACUUAAUUCAACAGCUCCAAUAAAAUAUCACAAUUAAUUAUAAUCAUGGUCUUACACUAAAGUUCAAUCAACUGUAUUCAAAUACAUAGCGAACUCCAGAAAUGGGUUACUCGCUAUGGCGAGUACGAGGCGAACGAGAAAAGGGUGCUCUCGGGAGUUUUGAUAUUUUUCUCACUAAAUCUUCAUUUUUAAGCUCCCUAAUCAUCUUUUUAAUCUAAAAAUUGUCCCAGUCCUCUCUAAAAACAUCAAGGCACUCAAAACUAUCCAACUUACACCUUAUAACAACAAUUUGAAAAUCAAGAUCUCUCACUCACUUACUCGCCAUGGCGAGUGGUUUUGCUCGCGAGGCGAGCUAUGAAGAUGGCUCACUCGCGAGGCGAGACAGGCUACUCGCGGGGCGAGCGAUGAAUAUCAUGUACGGGCAGAAUGCAGGUUUUUCCCAAAAAACCCAAUUUUCUCAAUUACAAUUCCGAAAACAGUUUACAGAAGUUUAAUAAAUUGCUGUCUACAACCUGAAUGCAUUCUAACACUAUUGUAAAGGUUUCUAUACUCUUUCAAUUCAAAAUCAAAGAUUAAAAUCUAAACCCAAAUUCCCAAUUUCUACUAGAACUAUGCUAAACCCAAAAUCAGAAUUACAUAACCAUCAUUAUUGAGAGAUAGUCUCACCCUUACCUUAAUUUGAUGAACAAAACUCUCCAAAAUCAGAAUCUCCCUUCUAGGCUCUUCCUUUGGUUUUUCUCCCAAAACUCUGUUGUACGUGAAAUCAGUUUUCUGACUUCUCCCCUUUUCUUAACUCCCCAAUUAUUUCUCUUAACUCCCACUUAAUUCUAUUAAUUAAAAUAUAACCCCCAAAACUCCAAAUAAUUAUAAUUCCCACUUGAACUAUUAAAUACUACAAUAAAUCAUUUAAUAAAAUAUAACACACCACAUAAUCAACAAUAAUUAUUUAAAAUCAUAUAAAAGACUCUAAAUAAAUCAGAAAUAAAUAAAUAACGAUUAGGGUGUUACAACUCUCCCCAACUUAGAGAAUUUCGUCCUCGAAAUAUUACCUCAAGCAAACAACUCUGGAUAAGACUCUAGCAUCUUACUCUCCAGCUCCCAUGUAGUUACUCC
rnacentral:lncRNA from 1 species